rnacentral:rRNA from 1 species
AAUCAACGCUGGCGGCGCGCCUAACACAUGCAAGUCGAACGAGAAAGCAGGAGCAAUCCUGUGAGUAAAGUGGCGUACGGGUGAGUAACACGUGGAUCAUCUACCCUUUUGUGGGGGAUAACCCCGGGAACCGGGGCGUAAUACCGCAUAAGUCCGAGAGGAGAAAGCAGCUUUGUGAAAGCAAGGCGGCGCAGAAGGAGGAGUCCGCGGCCGAUUAGCUAGUUGGUAGGGUAAAAGCCUACCAAGGCUACGAUCGGUAGCCGGCCUGAGAGGGCACACGGCCACACUGGCACUGAAACACGGGCCAGACUCCUACGGGAGGCAGCAGUGGGGAAUCUUGCACAAUGGGGGCAACCCUGAUGCAGCGACGCCGCGUGAGCGAUGAAGCCCUUGGGUGUAAAGCUCUUCGGCAGGGAAGAUCGUGACGGUACCUGCAGAAGCAGCUGCGGCUAACUACGUGCCAGCCGCCGCCGUAAC